GGGACAACCCGCCGAAAGGCGGGCUAAACCCGCGUACAUGCCACCGGGGCAUCCCGGAGGCAGGAAAGGCUUUGGCCGGACAGGGAUGGGCAUGCGGCGCAUUAGGCAGUAGGCGGGGUAACGGCCCACCUAACCGACGAUGCGUAGGGGUUCUGAGAGGAAGGUCCCCCACACUGGUACUGAGACACGGACCAGACUCCUACGGGAGGCAGCAGUGAGGAAUAUUGGUCAAUGGUCGGGAGACUGAACCAGCCAAGCCGCGUGAGGGAUGAAGGUACAGAGUAUCGUAAACCUCUUUUGUCAGGGAACAAAGGCGGGGACGUGUCCCCGGAUGAGUGUACCUGAAGAAAAAGCAUCGGCUAACUCCGUGCCAGCAGCCGCGGUAAUACGGAGGAUGCGAGCGUUAUCCGGAUUUAUUGGGUUUAAAGGGUGCGCAGGCGGUCUGUUAAGUCAGCGGUCAAAGCCCGGGGCUCAACCCCGGCCCGCCGUUGAAACUGGCAGUCUCGAGUUGGAGAGAAGUAUGCGGAAUGCGCGGUGUAGCGGUGAAAUGCAUAGAUAUCGCGCAGAACUCCGAUUGCGAAGGCAGCAUGCCGGCUCCACACUGACGCUGAGGCACGAAAGCGUGGGUAUCGAACAGGAUUAGAUACCCUGGUAGUCCACGCAGUAAAC
rnacentral:rRNA from 1 species